CCGGACUUGAACCCAAUUGAACAUCUCUGGCGAGACCUGAAAAUAGCUGUGCAGCGACGCUCCCCAUCCAACCUGACAAAGCUUGAGGAUUUGCAGAGGAGAAUGGGAGAAACUCCCAAAAUACAGGUUGGAGCAAGGUGCUACAACACUGGGCGACAAUGGAGCAGUUGUUCUGGGGGAUUAAGUGCCUUGCUCAAGGGCACAACUGCAUUAAAUGGCAUCUAGGAUUUUAUACCCUUUGGUUGCCAGCUCACAUCCCGACAUAUUUCGAGGAGGGAUGCGACACCACUCUUCCACAAGAUCAUUUGGUGUUUUGUUGAUGGUGGUGGAUAACGGUGUCUCAGGCGUCGAUCCAGAAUAUCUCAGAAGUGUUCAAUUGGGUUGAGAUCUGGUGACUGAGACGGCCAUGGCAUAUGUUUAAAUCGUUUUCAUGCUCGCUCAGUGACCACUUGUGCCCUGUGGAUGGGGGCAUUUACAUCCUAUGGGGGCUUAGCCAUGGAAGCCAAAACAAUGGCCUGCACAGACUUUUUACAUAUUACCGUGAGCAUGAUGAAAUGUUAAUUGCUUAAUUAACUCAGGAACCACACCUGUGUGGAAGCAACGUCUUUUACUCUACUUUGUAUCACUCAUUUACUCAACUGUUUCCAUUAUUAGGCUCUGGUCAAAAGUCGUGCAGUCUAGGGAGUAGGGUGACUUUACGGACACAGGCAUAGAGAACAUAGAGUCCCCCCCCCAUCAUGAUGUUCUAGCUCUAGCAAACCCUCUGCCCUCUAUCUCUCUUCCCCAUUAGGCACAC
ensembl:lncRNA